rnacentral:rRNA from 1 species
UACUAGAGUAGCACUCGCAUAUCAAUAAGCGGAGGAAAAGAAACUAUCAAGGAUUCCCCUAGUAACGGCGAGUGAAGCGGGAAGAGCUCAAAUUUGAAAUCUUAAAGGGUUUCCCUUUACGAAUUGUAGUUUAAAGAAGUGUUUUCUGUUGAGGUUUUGGUAAAAGUUCUUUGGAAUAGGACAUCAUAGAGGGUGAGAAUCCCGUAUUUGACCUUUACUUUCAACUUUGUGAUACACUUUCAAAGAGUCGGAUUGUUUGGGAAUGCAGUCCAAAAUGGGUGGUAAAUUUCAUCUAAAGCUAAAUAUUGGCGAGAGACCGAUAGCGAACAAGUACCGUGAGGGAAAGAUGAAAAGAACUUUGAAAAGAGAGUUAAACAGUACGUGAAAUUGUCAAAAGGGAAGCGUUUGACACCAGUGUUGUUUUUCUGAAAAUCAAUUAAAGAACUGUUUAUGCUAAGCUGUUUAGACUUUAUCAGCUAUACUGUUUAGUUUUGAGCUUUUCUUUAAUGCACUUUUCAGUUAACAAGUCAACAUCAAUUUCUUUUGCUGUAAAAAAGCUUGAGGAAGGUGGCUUGAGAUUCGUCUUAAGUGUUUAUAGCCUCUUGCCUAUGCAGUCGGAGAGAUUGAGGUCUGCAGCGUAGAUCCUUCGGGGCUAAAUGCAUUUGUGCUAAGUUAUAGCAUUUUAUAGACAACUUGUUGACUAUGAUUUGUCUUGUAGCUUACUCGCUUAUGUUAUUUUACCUACGCUUAGGAUGUUGAUCUACAGAGCGAGAGU